GAUCCUACGGGGGGCAGCAGUGAGGAAUAUUGGUCAAUGGCCGGAAGGCUGAACCAGCCAAGCCGCGUGAAGGACGAAGGUGCCAAGCAUUGUAAACUUCUUUUGUCAAGGGACAAAAUCAGGCUCGAGAGCCUGACCGAGGGUACUUGAAGAAAAAGCAUCGGCUAACUACGUGCCAGCAGCCGCGGUAAUACGUAGGUGGCAAGCGUUGUCCGGAUUUAUUGGGCGUAAAGCGAGUGCAGGCGGGUCAAUAAGUCUGAUGUGGAAGACUUCGGGCCAAACGGGGAAUUGCAU
rnacentral:rRNA from 1 species